UGGGGAAUUUUGGACAAUGGGGGCAACCCUGAUCCAGCAAUGCCGCGUGAGUGAAGAAGGCCUUCGGGUUGUAAAGCUCUUUUGUCAGGGAAGAAACGGUAGUAGCGAAUAACUAUUACUAAUGACGGUACCUGAAGAAUAAGCACCGGCUAACUACGUGCCAGCAGCCGCGGUAAUACGUAGGGUGCAAGCGUUAAUCGGAAUUACUGGGCGUAAAGCGUGCGCAGGCGGUUGUGUAAGUCAGAUGUGAAAUCCCCGGGCUCAACCUGGGAAUUGCAUUUGAGACUGCACGGCUAGAGUGUGUCAGAGGGGGGUAGAAUUCCAGGUGUAGCGGUGAAAUGCGUAGAUAUCUGGAGGAAUACCGGUGGCGAAGGCGGCAUCCUGGACCAUUACUGACGCUGAGGCGCGAAAGCUAGGGGAGCAAACGGGAUUAGAUACCCAUGUAGUCCCUGAGCGGGCUGGCAAGGCGCAU
rnacentral:rRNA from 1 species